GUAUACCACAUUAACAAACUGAAGAAUAAAAAUCACAUAACCUAGGGACCCAGUGUGCAAUUUCUGCAAACAGCAGCCUCCUCGAUAGUGUAUGCAGCCUGUUGAUUGUGUGGUUUGCCCUAAGGGAACUUGCUGAUAGCC